rnacentral:rRNA from 1 species
UUAGAGUUUGAUCCUGGCUCAGAUUGAACGCUGGCGGCAUGCCUUACACAUGCAAGUCGAACGGCAGCGCGGGAGCAAUCCUGGCGGCGAGUGGCGAACGGGUGAGUAAUACAUCGGAACGUGCCCAAUCGUGGGGGAUAACGCAGCGAAAGCUGUGCUAAUACCGCAUACGAUCUACGGAUGAAAGCAGGGGAUCGCAAGACCUUGCGCGAAUGGAGCGGCCGAUGGCAGAUUAGGUAGUUGGUGAGGUAAAGGCUCACCAAGCCUUCGAUCUGUAGCUGGUCUGAGAGGACGACCAGCCACACUGGGACUGAGACACGGCCCAGACUCCUACGGGAGGCAGCAGUGGGGAAUUUUGGACAAUGGGCGCAAGCCUGAUCCAGCCAUGCCGCGUGCAGGAUGAAGGCCUUCGGGUUGUAAACUGCUUUUGUACGGAACGAAACGGCCUUUUCUAAUAAAGAGGGCUAAUGACGGUACCGUAAGAAUAAG